UACGAAGGGGGCUAGCGUUGCUCGGAAUCACUGGGCGUAAAGGGUGCGUAGGCGGGUCUUUAAGUCAGGGGUGAAAUCCUGGAGCUCAACUCCAGAACUGCCUUUGAUACUGAGGAUCUUGAGUUCGGGAGAGGUGAGUGGAACUGCGAGUGUAGAGGUGAAAUUCGUAGAUAUUCGCAAGAACACCAGUGGCGAAGGCGGCCUUCUGGACCAAUACUGACGCUCAUGCACGAAAGCGUGGGGAGCAAACAGG
rnacentral:rRNA from 1 species